UUCAACCUAAUAAAACAGUCAGCUAAUUAUGACCUGGGAAUGGACACGUCUCUGGAAAAGAAACUCUGAAGUGAACUGUGACCGGCCUGUCAACAAGAGGAGAAGGUUGACUACGUUCAAAUGGAGGAGCCAAACGAUUUAGUUAAUAUUAGCUUAGUUUACGGUGUAGUCAGUGAUAUUAGCUAGCGUGCCAAGUAAGUUAGCAGCCACGGGGGAUACGAGGAUAACAACAACAUCAACAUCAACAACAACAGCAACAGCAACAACAACAACAACAACAACAACAACAACAACAACAGCAACAGCAACAGCAACAACAACAACAACAACAACAACAUCAACAGCAACAGCAACAGCAACAGCAACAACAACAACAACAGCAACAGCAACAACAACAAAAGACUUUCAAAGCAAGAAAGGAAGUGGGACAUUGCGACAUGGAAACUUUCUUCUGCAAGAGGGAGGCAUGGACUUCGACGUCAAAACGUGGUUCGUGAUGUCAGAGACGGUGGAAGAGAAAAAGAUGAAACUACAGCUCAUGAAGAAAAUAGACACAGACAGUGGAGGUUUUGAAGGUUCCUCCAGACUGGAGAGUCG